AGUAAAAGUCGUAACAAGGUUUCCGUAGGUGAACCUGCGGAAGGAUCAUUACCACACCUAAAAACUUUCCACGUGAACUGUAUCAAAACAACUAAUUGGGGGUUUAAUUGGCGUCGGCUGCUGACAUCUUUUUGUUGGCGGCUGCUGCUGAGCAAGCCCUAUCAUGGCGAAUAUUCGGACCUUGGUCUGAACUAGUAGCUUUCGUUUUAAACCCAUUCCUAAUUACUGAUUAUACUGUGGGGACGAAAGUCUCUGCUUUUAACUAGAUAGCAACUUUCAGCAGUGGAUGUCUAGGCUCGCACAUCGAUGAAGAACGCUGCGAACUGCGAUACGUAAUGCGAAUUGCAGGAUUCAGUGAGUCAUCGAAAUUUUGAACGCAUAUUGCACCUCCGGGUUAUUCCUGGAGGUAUGCCUGUAUCAGUGUCCGUACAUCAAACUUGGUUUUCUUCUUUCCGUGUAGUCGGGGGAGGAUAUGCCAGAUGUGAAGUGUCUUACGGCUGAUUUUCGGAUCGGCUGUGAGUCCUUUGAAAUGUACAGAACUGACUCUCUUUGUUCGAAAAGCGUGGCAUUGCUGGUUGUAAAGGCUGUUCAUGUGACCAGU
rnacentral:rRNA from 1 species